AGACCCGAAACCCGGUGAUCUAGCCAUGGGCAGGUUGAAGGUUGGGUAACACUAACUGGAGGACCGAACCGACUAAUGUUGAAAAAUUAGCGGAUGACCUGUGGCUGGGGGUGAAAGGCCAAUCAAACCGGGAGAUAGCUGGUUCUCCCCGAAAGCUAUUUAGGUAGCGCCUCGUGAAUUCAUCUCCGGGGGUAGAGCACUGUUUCGGCCAGGGGGCCAUCCCGGCUUACCAAUCCGAUGCAAACUGCGAAUACCGGAGAAUGUUAUCACGGGAGACACACGGCGGGUGCUAACGUCCGUCGUGAAGAGGGAAACAACCCAGACCGCCAGCUAAGGUCCCAAAGUCAUGGUUAAGUGGGAAACGAUGUGGGAAGGCCCAGACAGCCAGGAUGUUGGCUUAGAAGCAGCCAUCAUUUAAAGAAAGCGUAAUAGCUCACUGGUCGAGUCGGCCUGCGCGGAAGAUGUAACGGGGCUAAACCAUGCACCGAAGCUGCGGCAGCGACACUGAUGUGUUGUUGGGUAGGGGAGCGUUCUGUAAGCCGUUGAAGGUGGCCUGUGAGGGUUGCUGGAGGUAUCAGAAGUGCGAAUGCUGACAUAAGUAACGAUAAAGCGGGUGAAAAGCCCGCUCGCCGGAAGACCAAGGGUUCCUGUCCAACGUUAAUCGGGGCAGGGUGAGUCGACCCCUAAGGCGAGGCCGAAAGGCGUAGUCGAUGGGAAACGGGUUAAUAUUCCCGUACUUGGUGUUACUGCGAAGGGGGGACGGAGAAGGCUAUGUUGGCCGGGCGACGGUUGUCCCGGUUUAAGCGUGUAGGUGUGUGUUCCAGGUAAAUCCGGUUCACUUUAACACUGAGGCGUGACGACGAGGCAC
rnacentral:rRNA from 1 species